AUUGAACGCUGGCGGCAGGCUUAACACAUGCAAGUCGAGCGGGGAAGGGUAGCUUGCUACCUAACCUAGCGGCGGACGGGUGAGUAAUGCUUAGGAAUCUGCCAUUUAGUGGGGGACAACAUUCCGAAAGGAAUGCUAAUACCGCAUACGUCCUACGGUAGAAAGCAGGGGAUCUUCGGACCUUGCGCUAAAUGAUGAGCCUAAGUCGGAUUAGCUAGUUGGUGGGGUAAAGGCCUACCAAGGCGACGAUCUGUAGCGGGUCUGAGAGGAUGAUCCGCCACACUGGGACUGAGACACGGCCCAGACUCCUACGGGAGGCAGCAGUGGGGAAUAUUGGACAAUGGGCGGAAGCCUGAUCCAGCCAUGCCGCGUGUGUGAAGAAGGCCUUAUGGUUGUAAAGCACUUUAAGCGAGGAGGAGGCUACUUAGAUUAAUACUCUAGGAUAGUGACGUUACUCGCAGAAUAAGCACCGGCUAACUCUGUGCCAGCAGCCGCCGUAACAC
rnacentral:rRNA from 1 species